AUCAACGACAUGCAGGAAACCAGCUGGUUGCUCAGAGCAGGAUGAGUCUGUGGUGACCCUACCACGGACUGCCACUUCAUCUUGGGACCCAGUUGAAGAAGAACUCACACAGAGGGAGGUGGCUCAGACAUGGAGAUCAAAAUGAGAGCAACUUUUCCUGUCGACCCUCGGUUGUACUGGAGGUGAUGCCAUCCGCCACAUGCUGCUGAGACAGUACAGCUUGCGGGAAAGAAAGACAAAGAAAGCCUUCCAGGACCUGGCUGUAUGCAGGGUUAUAAAAG